UCCCUGGUGGUCUAGCGGUUAAGGAUCAGCAUUGUCACUGCUAUGUCUUGGGUUCGAUCCCUGGCCUGGGAA
rnacentral:tRNA from 1 species